AACUUCUGAAUGUGACCUCGGAUCAGGUAGGAAUACCCGCUGAACUUAAGCAUAUCAUAGGCCGGAGGAAAA
rnacentral:rRNA from 1 species